GUGUUGUAUGAAGAGAGAGAAAGCCAGCGCUCCUCCCUAAGAGGCUAGAACAGGUCCGCAGACCUAACAACAUUUUUAAGGCACAGGCUUUGACACCUUCUUUGAAGCAUCUAAGCACUGUUUCUU
ensembl:snRNA U6atac minor spliceosomal RNA